GUAGAUAUAGUUUAACAAAAACAUUAGAUUGUGGUUCUAAAAACAGAGGUUAAAAUCCCCUUAUCCGCC
rnacentral:tRNA from 1 species